UUUAAUCACUUUUGCUCAUGGAGGUUCAAGAACACUUUAAACUCUUGAUUUUAAACAAUGGAAUUUUUAUGCAAAAUGGUGAUGAUUAAGAUACUAAUCAAGUCAAGAAAGAAUAAUAAUGCAAAAAAAAUUCAAAUAAAUGAAAAUUAAUUCACAUUUAAUUUAUUUUUGUUCAUGUAGGUUCAGGAACAUUUUAAACUCUUGAUAUUGUAUCAAUGGAGUUUCCAUACAAAAUGAUGAUGAUUAAGGUACUAAAUAAAUGAAGCAAGAAUAAAAAU
rnacentral:lncRNA from 1 species